rnacentral:lncRNA from 1 species
GAAAAAACAAAACUAUAGAAUAAAGCGAGUACAGAUGAAUUCUAAAAUCAUAGAACAAAGAGGGUUAGAUUCCUGAGGAGAGGUGUGGGGGACAGCUUCACAGGAGGGACUCCAGCUCUGUCACAAUGGCAGGAGCUCAGGAGGAGUCUGGGGGCUUACAUCAGGGACAGGGAGGUCAUCUCUGUCUUUGAGGGAGAACCUAGCAAGAAGAAAAAGGGCAUGGAAGUUGGAGGACAGUAGAGAAGAUUUAAAACAGUCUUGGUAGAAAGUGGUGAAACAAAUUGGUGAGAAGAAUCUGUCAGACAGUGCUGUACUUGGGAAUCAGUGGUGCUGAUCUCCUUGUUUAAAGAAAAUGAAUUUAUGAUGCCAGAAUAACUGAAAUGCUGGAUAAUUAGUCUCAAGCUACAAAGAAAGGAAGUGCAGAGUGUGGACAGAGAAAGGAGAGAAUUUCUUCCCACUGUUAAGCUGUUGUCUGGGCUUCAGACAUUCCCGGAGCCAAGUUGUAUGGGCCUGACUGACACAGAACUUAUUGACCCAGAAACACCUAUGAAAUGGAAGAAGGGUGCUAAACAAAAAUAUGUGAGCAAGCGAAUGAGAAGGAUAGGAUGUUUGUGUGCUUGAACUGGUGUUUGAGAAGGUGCUUUGGUCCAACUGGGCGGCUGAGAUGAAGAGGACAAUAAGGUUAUUAAAGCAGAGAAAUCAGCUGGGCAUGGUGCUGCUUACCUGAAGCAGAAGGAUUACAAGUAAGAGUCCAACCUGGGCAGUUUAGUGACUUAGCAACACCUUGUCUCAAAAUUUUUAAAAUAAAGAAGUUCUGAGGAUGUAAUUCAGUGCAAAGGCCCUAAAAAAUGGAAAUCAUACAUCGGAGAUACGUUGCUUAGGCUGACUGCUUGUUCACUGAGGACAGUCGCUGAAUUAGAAAGGGGAAAUAUGUACAACAAUUAAAGAAUAAGAUGCAGG